rnacentral:rRNA from 1 species
CUGGCUCAGGAUAAACGCUGGCGGCGUGCCUAAUACAUGCAAGUCGAUCGCUGGAAUUCCAGCUUGCUGGAAUGAAGGAGAGGCGAACGGGUGAGUAAUACAUAAGCAACCUGCCCACGAAGACUGGGAUAAUUCCUGGAAACGGGGACUAAUACCGGAUAGGUAGUGUGAUCGCAUGAUCGCACUAUUAAAGGUUCAAGACACUGGUGGAUGGGCUUAUGGCGCAUUAGCUGGUUGGUGAGGUAACGGCCCACCAAGGCGAUGAUGCGUAGCCGGCCUGAGAGGGUGAACGGCCACAUUGGGACUGAGACACGGCCCAGACUCCUACGGGAGGCAGCAGUAGGGAAUUUUCGGCAAUGGGCGCAAGCCUGACCGAGCAACGCCGCGUGAGUGAAGACGGCCUUCGGGUUGUAAAGCUCUGUUGUAAGGGAAGAAUUGGCAUGAGAGAAUCAUGCAGUGACGGUACCUUACCAGAAAGCCACGGCUAACUACGUGCCAGCCGCCGC